UUAAAAGAUUUAGAUGCACUAUUGUAAAGUGGCUGUUCCACUGGAUGUCAUAAGGUGAAUGCACCAAUUUGUAAGUCGCUCUGGAUAAGAGCGUCUGCUAAAUGACUUAAAUGUAAUGUAAAUGUACGAAGGGCUAUAUAAAUAAACUUGAUUUGAUCUAGUGCACUAUGAAAUGUAUAGCUCUUCUACACCCACUCCUAUUCAAGGCUAGAACUACUUUGUCUUUUCUAAUACUUCUAACUUUAAUAUUCAUUUUUAUAACUUAUCUAUUUCACCUUUGAAUGUACAAUAUUGUUACUAGGUGUUGUCUCAUGAAUAUUGACUAACUAUAACCAUCCCCUCUUCAAUCCGCAUUGAUUGGGGCAAAUACAAUGUCUUUUGAACAAAGUAUCUUUGUACUCCCUGACAAAGGCCUUGCAGCCGAAACGAAACCGUUUGAAAAUAUUUGUUCAAUUGAACAUGCCAUACAAAUAAAGACAUUAGUUAUAUGAAGAGUGCCUUGGUCCUCCUUCCUUUUUGAUGACCAAUUUACCAAAGAGCUCCUUCUAUCUACAAAGACCUAUCGUGUACCUUAGGAGUGCUUCCCUUCCUUUUUUCUAAUGCGUACCUCAAAGGCUGUUGAAGAACGGUGUCAGUUUCAGUAAAAACCAUCAUGCUACAUAACAAACAUUGACGUGAACUGAACACACCCUUUGUCUAUUACAUUGAGGCUUAAGCUCUGUCCAUAUGCAAUUCCCUCUCCACUUCCAUCCACUCUGCAAAACAAUUUACUUCAUAAGAGAUACUAGUGACAUCAGCUUGAUUGAAGUAUUGCAGACCACACUACAAUCUACAUCAUUUGCAGUCUACAUCAGACAGUUUCCUCCACAAUCUACUCCUGGGCUAAAGAGCACUUUCAAUCGAGAUUGAACAUGUUUUUUUUUAGUUCAUGAGUAGGCAUAACAUGGGCCACCCAGACAACCACACGCUACAAAAAAUAUAAAUAAAUAAAAAAUGUGUUUAAGGGAUUAGAGAGAAGAUGACAGCGGUUGUGUCGAAGGAAAGUAGGCCGGAUUCGAACCUAUAACAACACUGUAGACGCGUGCCGGAGGCUGCAGCAAUACCGCUAGACCAGCCAGGCCAGAAGAACAACUCUUACUUUAUAUUUCAGUGAUUUAGCAGACGCUCUUAUCCAGCGUAAACUACAAGAGCAAUUCGAGUUAAGUGCCUUGCUCAAGGACACAGACGGAUGAUUUCUCACUUAGACAGCUCAGAGACUCAAACCAGUGACCUUUCGGUUGCUGGCCCAACGCUCUUAACCACUAGGCUACCAUCCAAUGGAGCUUUUUAUUUAGACCUUUUUUGGAAGUACACCGGCUGUGACAACAGAAAUGAUGACAGUUGCUCAGGGAAACUUCAUUAUUUGAUAAGUACCUAAUGUAUUUUGACGUUAUUAAGCUUGACAAGUUGGUGAAUGGCAAGUUGAAUGGCAAGUUGAAUGGCUGCUUCCUGGGCUUAAAGUAGAAUUGGCAUAUUCAACAUCUCCUGGAAGGACGAAUUCUAGUUCAGGGUGUACCCACAUGUCUCAAUCUAUGAAAGAAGACUUGAAAUAGACAAGAUGGCAGCCUAAUUGUUGGAUUACUUCAUUGAGCAAAAAAUAAGAAGAAGAAACGGAGCAUUUCCUAAAUUCAAACGGAACCCCUACAACUGGACCAGUCCAUUUUACGAGACUCCGGUUUCCACAAAUCAAGUCAGAAUACGGUAUCGCUAAGAUGUUUUGCUGGAGUCAAUCCAUCCACUGGCUCGAAGACCGCCACAGCAGAGGCCGUCAGCAAGAAAAACAGAAAGCGAUGAAGACAUGGAUGUCUCUAGCCAAGAAUUCUCAACUCCAUGAUACCCGGUGCAGUUGAGAGGCGAGGAGAUGGGUUUUGGCAAAGUGUCGUCUACCUCUGACUACAUCGAGUCGGUAUCAGUCGAUACUUAAAAAUAAAUAAAAAUGAUAAAAAUGUCCAUUCUUUCAUGCAUACCUUCUAACUAUAUUUGUCCUGUGCAGUGGCGACCCGUCAUUCAGGGCAGGUGGGGAAGAGCCCCACCUGUUUUGAGCCACAUAUUUUUUUGCAAAAAUAUAUUUUGGGGGCUUACCUGUUUUGCAUGUUAUUUUGGCAUUAAUACAUGUCACAUAUCAGUUUGCAAACAAAUGUAAAAAAGAACAUAUAUAAUUGAGUUAAUAAAGCCACAUACAAACAUGGCCUUUUUUUGUUUUCUUGAGUAAGGCAGCUCCAAUAUGCAGGUGUUUC